GGCGCAAGCCUGAUCCAGCAAUGCCGCGUGCAGGAUGAAGGCCUUCGGGUUGUAAACUGCUUUUGUACGGAACGAAAAGGUUCGGGUUAAUACCCUGGGCUCAUGACGGUACCGUAAGAAUAAGCACCGGCUAACUACGUGCCAGCAGCCGCGGUAAUACGUAGGGUGCAAGCGUUAAUCGGAAUUACUGGGCGUAAAGCGCACGCAGGCGGUUGGAUAAGUUAGAUGUGAAAGCCCCGGGCUCAACCUGGGAAUUGCAUUUAAAACUGUCCGGCUAGAGUCUUGUAGAGGGGGGUAGAAUUCCAGGUGUAGCGGUGAAAUGCGUAGAGAUCUGGAGGAAUACCGGUGGCGAAGGCGGCCCCCUGGACAAAGACUGACGCUCAGGUGCGAAAGCGUGGGGAGCAAACAGGAUUAGAUACCCUGGUAGUCCACGCCGUAAACGAUGUCGAUUUGGAGGCUGUGUCCUUGAGACGUGGCUUCCGGAGCUAACGCGUUAAAUCGACCGCCUGGGGAGUACGGCCG
rnacentral:rRNA from 1 species